CCUACGGGAGGCAGCAGUGGGGAAUUUUGGACAAUGGGCGAAAGCCUGAUCCAGCAAUGCCGCGUGAGUGAAGAAGGCCUUCGGGUUGUAAAGCUCUUUUGUCAGGGAAGAAACGGUGAGGGCUAAUAUCCCUUGCUAAUGACGGUACCUGAAGAAUAAGCACCGGCUAACUACGUGCCAGCAGCCGCGGUAAUACGUAGGGUGCAAGCGUUAAUCGGAAUUACUGGGCGUAAAGCGUGCGCAGGCGGUUUUGUAAGUCUGUCGUGAAAUCCCCGGGCUCAACCUGGGAAUUGCGAUGGAGACUGCAAGGCUAGAAUCUGGCAGAGGGGGGUAGAAUUCCACGUGUAGCAGUGAAAUGCGUAGAGAUGUGGAGGAACACCGAUGGCGAAGGCAGCCCCCUGGGUCAAGAUUGACGCUCAUGCACGAAAGCGUGGGGAGCAAACAGGAUUAGAUACCCUGGUAGUCCACGCCCUAAACGAUGUCUACUAGUUGUCGGGUUUUAAUAACUUGGUAACGCAGCUAACGCGUGAAGUAGACCGCCUGGGGAUACGGUCGCAAGNUUAAAACUCAAAUGAUAGAGNGNGAGAGNGACGACGACGACGACGAGGAGGAG
rnacentral:rRNA from 1 species